CGCCCCCAACACUAUAAAAGCCUGCAAGCCUUUGUUUCCCCUUUUCCCUCCAAACCUGCCAUGUGCCAGUGACUCCUUUGUCUAAAUGUUUGUGCCAUGUGGUUUCAAAGAAUUACCUGGAGUGGAUGCAUUACUGAUCAAAAAUCCUCCACAUCCAAAUCCACUCCUUUGUCAGCACUGAGCUGAUCCUUUUCUUUUGAAAAUAAACCUUUGAAACCUG